UUCUUUAGGAAGGGCCUUGGCCCAGUGAAAGAGGGUGAAGCUCAGUUCGCCGUGGUCCACUGCACAGGGUACAUCAAGGCCUGGCCGCCUGCAGGAAUGACCAUCCCUGAUGAAGAUGCUGAUGUGGGACAAGGCAGUAAAUACUGCCUUGUAGCAAUUGGGAGACUCCAGGUGACCAGCUCUCCAGUGUGUAUGGAUAUGAAUGGGGUGUCGGUGCCCACAGAGUUCUUGUCCCGGCAUAACUCUUUUUUUUUUUUUUUGGCCAGUCCUGAGG